UCGAAGCAAGCUGCGGAUACUUCGUGCUCGCUUGCUUUAUUCUAUUUUUACGCAUACAUACAUCGAUAAGUAGAAAAGUGAGCAACGACAUAUUCGGCAGUUUGAAAAAGCAUUAAUGCAGAAGCUUUGAGCACGGAAAGAAUGUGGUACCCAAACUCUGGGUUAAAAAUCCCUAGCGGCAAGUUCCAAUAUUGCGAACUCAAAAAUGGGUAUUUUUUUAAAUAAGGCGGUUCCUUAUUGAAUGUAUGGUUUAGCGAUUCGCUGCAAUUUUGGUCCCUGGAAACGAUUUUCACUGGAACCACCCGGUAGGUGUUAAUUUCGGCUUCACUAAAGUGACUGCCGUAUUUGUCGACCGGUCAAUCCGUGUCUGUUUACUGCUGCAAACAUGGUCGACUUCGCAACAUUUAAUAGUACCAACAAGUGAUUGAUCAAAUUAUAUUUAAAACAAUCGGAGCUGCCCGGAGCUCAACAGGGUUGGCAAAUGUAUUGAGUUUACACCAUGAGGAAGCCGGUUCUGGAAACAAGAGCUCGAACAUAUUCUCAGCCCCACCUGGCAUGUACUCGAUUUUCCACAGCGUUGUGUAUCAAAAUAUGGAGACUAUUCAAAAUUAUUAAAGAAAUUCCACCUCGUUGCAGUCUUAGAAUUGAUUAGGUGAAAACUGAACUUUAUUUCCAAAAGCCAUCCGUGGGGAAUAAUGAAAUAGGAAAAGUGUACGGUGUAGGAAAACUUGCUGAUCCAUCGGCACUGGCUGCACUGUGGUAUGGACCGGGCGAGAUGGCCGAGAUGUUAGCUUGGGUUAGCAAAAUAA